rnacentral:rRNA from 1 species
AUACGUAGGGUGCGAGCGUUGUCCGGAAUUACUGGGCGUAAAGAGCUCGUAGGUGGUUUGUCGCGUCGUCUGUGAAAUUCCGGGGCUUAACUCCGGGCGUGCAGGCGAUACGGGCAUAACUUGAGUACUGUAGGGGAGACUGGAAUUCCUGGUGUAGCGGUGAACUGCGCAGAUAUCAGGAGGAACACCGGUGGCGAAGGCGGGUCUCUGGGCAGUAACUGACGCUGAGGAGCGAAAGCAUGGGUAGCGAACAGGAUUAGAUACCCUGGUAGUCCAUGCCGUAAACGGUGGGCGCUAGGUGUAGGGGUCUUCCACGACUUCUGUGCCGUAGCUAACGCAUUAAGCGCCCCGCCUGGGGAGUACGGCCGCAAGGCUAAAACUCAAAUGAAUUGACGGGG